ensembl:lncRNA
GUUUCCUCAACAGAUGAGAGUUGGGACGAGCCGUUUCAUUACAAUUACUCCUAUCUACGUCAUGUAGGGUUAACCAUCGCCGCAGUUCUCUUUGUGAUGGGAAUCAUGGUGCUUGGUUGUGGCAAUGUGAAACGAAUGCCACAGUGUCGUAUUGGCAAAGGAAGUUCAUACGAGGUGACCAGAAGUUAACACUUUCCCCGGCAUUGAUCAGCUGGCUCUGCAAUAAACAGAAGAACAACAGGAGAACACCCAGUCAGUCCUGUUUCCACAGCGGUUAUAGACUUACAUUUCCCCCUUGUGAGAACAACAUCAUAAGGACAAGAUGGAGAGGUUGUGUAUGUGUGAGCGUGUUCAUUAUUUCAAACUGAUCUCCGGGUUUGUCACAGAGGUGCCGGGGAAUAAGAUGUGUGCUAUCAUGCAGCACUAAACGCCAGCAGUAACACAACGGCUGGGACUUUGGCAGAUCCCAACGUAAUCACGCAUCUCAGACACAAAAUCCCUUCAUCCCUCUGGUCUCCUGCACCAAACUGCUCAGUUUAAGCGUCAAACUCUGUACAAUAUAGACCUGUACUUCUGUUGUAUUAUUAUUAUUUCAAUACUGUGCAUCCUCAGAUAUGUCAAUCUUUUGGAAACAGAACGGAAACAUUGUGUAGCUCACAUGCGCCCUCAAGAGGCCUUCAGACACAUUUAUUAUUAGAGCUCCCAAGAAGAGAGAAUAAAAACAGUUUGACUGAGUCUGUUUAGUGAUUCAUGUAUCUGAAUUCACCAUCUACAUCGUGUCCUUGUAAAAAAAAAAAAAUAAAAUACAGCUUUAUCAGUGUAUAACGCUUGAGUUUAGAAUAAGUGAAGUUUCAUAUCACU